GAAGGCCUACGGGACGCAGCAGUGGGGAAUAUUGCACAAUGGGCGAAAGCCUGAUGCAGCAACGCCGCGUGAAGGAAGAAGGGUUUCGGCUCGUAAACUUCUCUCAACAGGGACGAAAGAAAUGACGGUACCUGAAUAAGAAGCCCCGGCUAACUACGUGCCAGCAGCCGCGGUAAUACGUAGGGGGCAAGCGUUAUCCGGAAUUACUGGGUGUAAAGGGUGAGUAGGCGG
rnacentral:rRNA from 1 species